AAUGAACGCUGGCGGCGUGCCUUACACAUGCAAGUCGAACGGCAGCACGGGAGCUUGCUCCUGGUGGCGAGUGGCGGACGGGUGAGGAAUACAUCGGAAUCUACUCUGUCGUGGGGGAUAACGUAGGGAAACUUACGCUAAUACCGCAUACGACCUACGGGUGAAAGCAGGGGACCUUCGGGCCUUGCGCGAUUGAAUGAGCCGAUGUCGGAUUAGCUAGUUGGCGGGGUAAAGGCCCACCAAGGCGACGAUCCGUAGCUGGUCUGAGAGGAUGAUCAGCCACACUGGAACUGAGACACGGUCCAGACUCCUACGGGAGGCAGCAGUGGGGAAUAUUGGACAAUGGGCGCAAGCCUGAUCCAGCCAUACCGCGUGGGUGAAGAAGGCCUUCGGGUUGUAAAGCCCUUUUGUUGGGAAAGAAAUCCAGCUGGUUAAUACCCGGUUGGGAUGACGGUACCCAAAGAAUAAGCACCGGCUAACUACGUGCCAGCCGCCGCCGUAA
rnacentral:rRNA from 1 species